AUUAUAACACUAUACAACUGUUAAAGUUUCUAUGAAUCCCUCACAAUGUAGUGUGUCAAAGAAACAAAAGAGUUAUGUGGGAGGGUUUGCAGGACAUUUUUUUCUCCAACAGAUGGAGCCAAGGACCUUCAGACCAAAGCUUCAUCUAUCCAUGGAAACAGUUGCUCUGCCAAUAUGGCUCAUUUACAUUUGUCAUUUAGCAGACGCUGUUAUCCAGAGCGAUUUACAGUAUAAUGAGUGCAUACAUUUUCAUACUUUUGUUUUCGGCUCGCCUGGUUAAGUUGAGUCUGGACAUUCCUCUGCUAGGGCCUCCCAUGUAAAGGCAACAUGCUGUUUCAACAUGAUAUGGAGUAACAUCAAGGUUCUUCUAUAAACAUAUGGCAUGUUUGCUAAGAUACAUAAUUCAUCAACAUAACAUGAUGUAACAGUUGUUUCAACAUUCAAGUCAUGGAUAUCAGUAGUUCUGCCCACACUUUACACUGGUCAAUGAGUGUGCCCACUUCCUUCCUUCCUCAUUUCAUUCCAAUACAGAACACAGUGGGUGAACAAUGGACAAACGAUGCCAAACAUCUGCGCAAAUUAUGCCAAACAUCUGCGCAAACGAUGCCAGAAAUCUGCGCAAACGAUGCCAGAAAUCUGCGCAAACGAUGCCAGAAAUCUGGACAAACAAUGUACAAAAAAAGCCCCUUCACUCGCCUAUCAAUAGAACGCAAAGACGGAUGGGCCCCAGCUUCAAAUGGUGUAAUCGUUUCACACUGCUGUAACAAAUGGUGUCUGCACUCAAGGACAUAUAUGAGCUCAGUCGGGUUAUGCUAGUGGGAUGCAGCGAAUGACAGAUGCGUUACAUGGGACUGAGUGACUCAUUCUUGACCCGAUGCCUUCUGAGAUCCAUCACCUUGGGGAGUUCAUUGGUACAGGUACAGUUCCCUGAUGCACCUCACUCUCACCCACUGCCUUAUGUAAUGUUCCAGUCCACAGCGGCAGCAGAUGUGGCAGUACUUUAGCCUUUUGCUUCACUUCAAUGAGACAUCUCUGGAGGCGCUGGAUGCUCUCUGCCUCAAAUAAGAGGGUAGUCUUUGGUUGAAGCACAGCAGAAAACAGCCCCGAGACAGGAUACUUUGUUCCCAAGAGUUGGCUUUUAAGGUGUGUGCCGCAUAAGAAAAGACAAAGAAGACUAAACAAAUCCGUUGUUUAGUAACGGUCUGUUUCCAGUCCAAAUCUACUGCUAUGUUUGCAGUCAGUAAGGAAAUGUUUCUAGGCUGCCUGUGUUUGUUUGUGCUCUUUGACUGUACUGCAGUCUGAAGCAGACACCUUGUUCAGAGAUAUGGAGAACUCAAUAGGUUCAUAUUGAGUGUUUUUAUUUUUAUUUUGGACAAAGCCAUAGUCAAAACCAGUGUGUAACAGAAAACAAUCAGAGAAUUUUUCCCAAGUAAACUUGAUUUUUUCAAGGCCUACCCACAGUGCAAAAACUGGUUGAAUAAACUGUUUCCACAUAAUUUCAACAAAAACAAUUAAAUGUGAUGAUAUUGAAUCAAGUUAAGAAUCAAUGUGAAAAACUGAUUGGAUUUCCAAAAAAGUAAUCAACUAAAGGGAAUUGGGUCUUUUUUUCACCCAACUUUUAAAGUAAAUCCAAUGACGUGGUGAAUGUUUCUGUUGAUUUCACGUUGAAUUCACGUUAGUUGACAAUUCAACCAAAUGUAAAUCAAAAAUAGACACUGAAAUUAUGUAUAUGCCCACUGAAUAGGUUCUAUAUGUAUGGUGGCAUAUUCAACAUCAAUCUGCAUCAGUGUAAGGUGAAACAUGCUGAACAUCAAUCUGCAUCAGUGUAAGGUGAAACAUGCUGAACAUCAAUCUGCAUCAGUGUAAGGUGAAACAUGCUGAACAUCAAUCUGCAUCAGUAUUAGGUGGAACAUGCUGAACAUCAAUCUGCAUCAGUAUUAGGUGAAACAUGCUGAACAUCAAUCUGCAUCAGUAUUAGGUGAAACAUGCUGAACAUCAAUCUGCAUCAGUAUUAGGUGGAACAUGCUGAACAUCAAUCUGCAUCAGUGUAAGGUGAAACAUGCUGAACAUCAAUCUGCAUCAGUGUAAGGUGAAACAUGCUGAACAUCAAUCUGCAUCAGUGUAAGGUGAAACAUGCUGAACAUCAAUCUGCAUCAGUAUUAGGUGGAACAUGCUGAACAUCAAUCUGCAUCAGUGUAAGGUGAAACAUGCUGAACAUCAAUCUGCAUCAGUAUUAGGUGGAACAUGCUGAACAUCAAUCUGCAUCAGUGUAAGGUGAAACAUGCUGAACAUCAAUCUGCAUCAGUAUUAGGUGGAACAUGCUGAACAUCAAUCUGCAUCAGUAUUAGGUAGAACAUGCUGAACAUCAAUCUGCAUCAGUGUAAGGUGAAACCUAUUUUAUAUCUAACUUCCAGUCCUUUGUGAGGGAACAUUAUCUUGAUUGCUGGAAAAGGGU